ensembl:lncRNA
AUGCCCACGCCUCCCGCCUCCUGUUGGCAGCCGCCUCGCGGCUCAUGGCUGCGGCUGCCCUGGCUCCAAUCAAGGGGUGGAUUUGCUGGAGGCUGCCUCUUGCAGAGCAGUCAGCAGCCUCCGCGCCUCCACUCGCAGUCCUCUCGCAGAACUCUGCUGUCACACGCACUGGCAAGGUCUCAGUGGCUCGUGCUCCCACAGGAAGACGUUCGCACCUCGAGAGUCGCCAGCAAGACUCAGCGCGGGCUGGGCCCGCUGGGGAUGGGUAGGAAUGCGGCCCACUGUGAGGUCACGGGGUGACUGUGACUCUCCGGUGCCAUCACGAAGCACACAGAUAGGUGGAGGUUUGCUGCCCCGUGGCUAUUGCGUCAGUAUUUGGGGCAUUUGCCUGCCAGAGCGCACCCAAGGACUUUCAGUGGGCCAUUUUCCCAAGCAGUGACAAAUAAAGGAUUUCUUGAAGCAAGCAGUAGAGCAGCUUUGGUGUUGCCGUUGAUCAGUGCAGUAGCUGUG